UACGAAGGGGGCAAGCGUUGUUCGGAAUUAUUGGGCGUAAAGCGCGUGUAGGCGGCUUGGCAAGUCGGGUGUGAAAUCCCUCAGCUCAACUGAGGAAGUGCGCCCGAAACUGCUUUGCUUGAGUGUCGGAGAGGAUGGCGGAAUUCCCCAAGUAGAGGUGAAAUGCGUAGAGAUCAGGAGGAACACCAGCGGUGUAGACGGCUUUCUGGACCACAGCUGACGCUGAGACACGAAAGCGUGGGUAGCAAACAGG
rnacentral:rRNA from 1 species